GGCAGAGGGAGCCCGACCCCCGUGAGCAGGGGAGGCCGAACUCCGGUCUCGCGGCUCAUGAGGAAAGUCCCCCCACCGGCCGAACAGGUGACCGGGUGUAAGCCCGGAGUCGGAGACGGCUGGCUCUGGAACAGAAACGAGACCCCCCAUCCCGACCAAUGAGGUGUGUGACCCGCCCCGCGAGGGAAGGUAGUUAACCCGCCGAUGGGACGCGGUGACCCCGCGAAACGGGUGGGAAUGGCUGGAACGGCGAAUCCUCACCGGUGCAAGUCCGCGCGACAGGUAGUUCGGCCAUGGCGCGGACGCUUAGCCGAAUGUCGGGCCGAACAGAAGGGGGCUUACUCCCCUCAGCC
rnacentral:RNase_P_RNA from 2 species